UACGAGUGGUGCGAGCGUUGUUCGGAAUUACUGGGCAUAAAGAGCACGUAGGCGGUCCUGUAAGUCUGCUGUGAAAUCCCCCGGCUCAACCGGGGAACUGCAGCUGAUACUGCUGGGCUAGAGUGCGGGAGGGGAGAGCGGAAUUCCUGGUGGAGCGGUGAUAUGCGUAGAUAUCAGGAGGAACGCCGGAGGCGAAAGCGGCUCUCUGGUCCGUAACUGACGCUGAGGUGCGAAAGCUAGGGGAGCGAACAGG
rnacentral:rRNA from 1 species